rnacentral:rRNA from 1 species
GAUGAACGCUAGCGGCAGGCCUAAUACAUGCAAGUCGAGGGGUAACAUGAGAGCUUGCUCUUGAUGACGACCGGCGCACGGGUGCGUAACGCGUAUACAAUCUACCCUUUACUUAGGGAUAGCCCGGGGAAACUCGGAUUAAUACCUAAUAGUAUCUAUGGGCUUCAUGGCUUUAAGAUUAAAGAUUUAUCGGUAAAGGAUGAGUAUGCGUCCCAUUAGUUAGUUGGUGAGGUAACGGCUCACCAAGGCGACGAUGGGUAGGGGUUCUGAGAGGAAGAUCCCCCACACUGGUACUGAGAUACGGACCAGACUCCUACGGGAGGCAGCAGUAGGGAAUAUUGGUCAAUGGACGAGAGUCUGAACCAGCCAUGCCGCGUGUAGGAAGACGGCCUUCUGGGUUGUAAACUACUUUUUACAGGGAAGAAAAAGACCAUGCGUGGUAAAUUGCCGGUACCUGUAGAAUAAGCACCGGCUAACUCCG